rnacentral:rRNA from 1 species
UACGUAGGUGACAAGCGUUGUCCGGAUUUACUGGGCGUAAAGAGCGCGCAGGCGGUCGUUCAAGUCGAGUGUGAAAGCCCCCGGCUCAACUGGGGAGGGUCACUCGAUACUGAUCGACUCGAAGGCAGGAGAGGGUAGUGGAAUUCCCGGUGUAGUGGUGAAAUGCGUAGAUAUCGGGAGGAACACCAGUGGCGAAGGCGACUACCUGGCCUGUUCUUGACGCUGAGGCACGAAAGCGUGGGGAGCAAACAGGG